UUUACUAUAGCUUGACACUGAACAUUGAGCCUUGAUGUGUAGGAUAGGUGGGAGGCUUUGAAGUGUGGACGCCAGUCUGCAUGGAGCCGACCUUGAAAUACCACCCUUUAAUGUUUGAUGUUCUAACGUGGACCCGUAAUCCGGGUUGCGGACAGUGUCUGGUGGGUAGUUUGACUGGGGCGGUCUCCUCCUAAAGAGUAACGGAGGAGCACGAAGGUUGGCUAAUCCUGGUCGGACAUCAGGAGGUUAGUGCAAUGGCAUAAGCCAGCUUGACUGCGAGCGUGACGGCGCGAGCAGGUGCGAAAGCAGGUCAUAGUGAUCCGGUGGUUCUGAAUGGAAGGGCCAUCGCUCAACGGAUAAAAGGUACUCCGGGGAUAACAGGCUGAUACCGCCCAAGAGUUCAUAUCGACGGCGGUGUUUGGCACCUCGAUGUCGGCUCAUCACAUCCUGGGGCUGAAGUAGGUCCCAAGGGUAUGGCUGUUCGCCAUUUAAAGUGGUACGCGAGCUGGGUUUAGAACGUCGUGAGACAGUUCGGUCCCUAUCUGCCGUGGGCGCUGGAGAACUGAGGGGGGCUGCUCCUAGUACGAGAGGACCGGAGUGGACGCAUCACUGGUGUUCGGGUUGUCAUGCCAAUGGCACUGCCCGGUAGCUAAAUGCGGAAGAGAUAAGUGCUGAAAGCAUCUAAGCACGAAACUUGCCCCGA
rnacentral:rRNA from 2 species